CGAAUCAAGGGAAGCGUGCCGGUGCAGGCAAGAGACCACCGUAAGCGUCGUUGCAACCAAUUAAGCGCCGUGUCAACACAGCGCGACUACGCUCUCGCUGCCUAAGCGACAGCUAGUCUGUCAGACCGGGAAAGCCCUCGACCCGGACCCUGGCAUCAGCUAGAGGGAUCAACCGAUAAGUUCGGUCGCGGGACUUAUCGGGACACCAACAGCGACUGGGAUCGUCAUCUCGGCUAGUUCGCGUGACCGGGAGAUCCGAGUAGAGGCAUAGCGAACUGCGCACGGAGAAGUCUUGAGGGAAUGCC
rnacentral:misc_RNA from 1 species